GCCGGGCGUGGUGGUGCAUGCCUGUAGUCCCAGCUACUUGGGAGGCUGAGGUGGGAGAAUCACUUGAACCUGGGAGUCAGGGAUUGCAGUGAGCCGAGAUCACGCCACUGCACUCCAGCCUGGGCAACAGAAUGAGACUCCAUCUCAA
rnacentral:SRP_RNA from 1 species